rnacentral:rRNA from 1 species
AGUGAACGCUGGCGGUAGGCCUAACACAUGCAAGUCGAACGGCAGCACAGUAAGAGCUUGCUCUUACGGGUGGCGAGUGGCGGACGGGUGAGGAAUACAUCGGAAUCUACUUUUUCGUGGGGGAUAACGUAGGGACACUUACGCUAAUACCGCAUACGACCUACGGGUGAAAGCAGGGGUUCUUCGGACCUUGCGCGUUUGAUUGAGCCGGUGUCGGAUUAGCUAGUUGGCGUGGUAAAGGCCCACCAAGGCGACGAUCCGUAGCUGAUCUGAGAGGAUGAUCAGCCACACUGGAACUGAGACACGGUCCAGACUCCUACGGGAGGCAGCAGUGGGGAAUAUUGGACAAUGGGCGCAAGCCUGAUGCAGCCAUACCGCGUGAGUGAAGAAGGCCUUCGGGUUGUAAAGCCCUUUUGUUGGGAAAGAAAAGCAGCAGGUUAAUACCCCGCUGUUCUGACGGUACCCAAAGAGAAAGCACCGGCUAACUUCGUG